AAUUAUACCUUAUUAUCGGGAAAAUUAAAAUCUCUUAACUGGUCAACCAUUGUACAGUUAAUUAAAACAAGCCCUGACAAGACGCAAUGCAGACCACUUUUUGUCAAGGGAAUUUUCACUGUGUAUGUACUUUUGUUUGGCUCUGGUAUAACACUUCAUGUGACAGACAAUCGUGUACAAAAACCCAAAGUCACGGUCUACCCAGUGUCCAAACCUGAGCCGAACAGGAAAACAACCCUGCUAUGUCUGGCUAGAGACAUGUUCCCAGACUUGGUCAAGAUUUCAUGGAAGAAGGUGGAUGAAAACGGUCGAACAAUGGAGGUGCCCAAAGCAGAGAUGGAAGAGCUGGAGCAGAGGGAGGAAGGGCGGACGACAAGUAUGAUCAUCAUUGAUAAAGAGAAAACGUACAAGAACAAAUACAUCUGUUCUGUGGAGCAUAAAUUGGGCACUCAAGAUGUUGACAUACCAAAAGAGAAACCAACUGAAGCUCCUCCAACCACCAUGGCUGCACCAACCACUCUGCACGUUACCUAUGAGGAUCCAACUGAAGCUCCUCCAUCCACAAGGGCUGCACCAACUGCUCUGCAGGCUACAAACGAUUCCUUCCAGUCAACAUGCAGUCUCAACCUGGCCUCUCUGGUUUACACAGUGAUGAUCGUAAAGAGCAUGGUGUACUGCUGUGCACUCUCUCUCCUGCUGCACAACAGGAACCUGGGAAGUAGACCCAGCACCAGUAGACCCAUUCAUUGAAAGGAUAUGCACCAGUAUGGAUAGAGUUGUAGUGGGCUGGGAACAACAAGGAUUUUACACCCCAUUGUACACCCCAUUGUGGUCUCAGAUUUCAUUUGUGUAUCUUUUAUUUUUUUUCCAGCUUCAUUUUUUAAAAUGCUAAAAUAUUGUGAGCCAUAGAUUUACACGUCUUCCAAUAACUUCAACUGCCAAUUAUGACAUUAAUUGCAGAACAUUUCAUUUGAGUAUAUUGUGUUUCCCUCCUUAACAUUUAAGUUAAUGUCACAUUUUACUUUUGAUGAUUGUGGGACAUACACACUGCAGACACUUGAAUAAAGAUUAAAUUAAGGUUUUCAGAAAAUUAAGGAUAGGACAUCUUUAAGGUAGAUCCUUAUGGUUAAAAUGUAGAUUGCUUUAUGAAUGUUGCCCUGCAAAAUCUGUCAUAGUGGUAAAUUAUUUUCACAAAAUCUGUAUUUGAUUUACACAAAAUAUUUAACUAAAUAUUAUAUCUAUCAAAAUAUUUUCUCAUUAAAUAUGCA